rnacentral:tRNA from 1 species
GGAGUUGGUAUCUCAGUGGUAGAGUGCAUACUCUGUGUGUAUGAUGUCCUGGGUUCAAUCCCCAGCUUCUA